rnacentral:sRNA from 1 species
ACAAAAAGAAGAAGGAAAAAACUAAAACAGAGAAG